rnacentral:rRNA from 1 species
UACAGAGGGGGCAAGCGUUGUUCGGAAUUACUGGGCGUAAAGGGCGCGUAGGCGGCCUUCUAAGUCGAACGUGAAAUCCCCGGGCUCAACCCGGGAACUGCGUCCGAUACUGGCAGGCUUGAAUCCGGGAGAGGGAUGCGGAAUUCCAGGUGUAGCGGUGAAAUGCGUAGAUAUCUGGAGGAACACCGGUGGCGAAGGCGGCAUCCUGGACCGGUAUUGACGCUGAGGCGCGAAAGCCAGGGGAGCAAACGGG